UUAGGAAUAUUCGUCAAUGGGGGAAACCCUGAACGAGCAAUGCCGCGUGAGUGAUGACGGUCCUAUGGAUUGUAAAACUCUGUUGUAUGGGAAGAACACUAAGUAUAGGAAAUGAUGCUUAGCUGACGGUACCAUUCGAGAAAGCCCCGGCUAACUACGUGCCAGCAGCCGCGGUAAUACGUAGGGGGCGAGCGUUAUCCGGAUUUAUUGGGCGUAAAGCGUGUGUAGGCGGUUUAUUAAGUAUAAGAUAAAAGCCUGGAGCUUAACUCCAGUUCGUCUUAUAAACUGGUAGACUUGAGUACGGUAGAGGCAAAUGGAAUUUCUAGUGUAGCGGUAAAAUGCGUAGAUAUUAGAAGGAACACCAGUGGCGAAGGCGAUUUGCUGGGCCGUUACUGACGCUGAGACACGAAAGCGUGGGGAGCAAAUAGG
rnacentral:rRNA from 1 species